UAAUACUAAUAAAAAUCACAUUCAUAAUUGGGUGUUUUUUUAUUAAAUACACAUUGACGAAAACAAGGAUUUACAUUGUCUUAAGUAGUAAUAGUAGCGAUAGCGGUAGCAAUAGUAGUAGUAGUAAUAGUAGUAGUAGUAGUAGUAGUAGUAGUAGUAAAUCAGUUUUUCAUUACAAUACUUCUUUCAUUUAAAUAAUCUUAUGUAUGUAUGUAUGUGUGUAUGUAUGUAUGUAUGUAUGUAUGAGAAAGCUUGUGUGUGUGUAUGGAAACUAAAAAGCAAAUAAAAUAUACAAAAAAAUAACAGAAAAACAAUCACAGUAGUAGUAGUAGUAGUAGUAGUAGUAGUAGUAGUAGUAGAAGUAGUAGUAGUAGGUGGAAAUAGGAAGUAGGCGAUGUUAUAUAUGUUUAGAAAGAGGAGAAUGAGGAGAAUCGCGUAGUAGUAGUAGUAGUAGUAGUAGUAGUAGUAGUAGUAGUAGUAGUAGUAGUAGAAGUAGUAGUAGUAGGUGGAAAUAGGAAGUAGGUGAUGUUAUAUAUGUUUAGAAAGAGGAGAAUGAGGAGAAUCGUGUAGUAGUAGUAGUAGUAGUAGUAGUAGUAGUAGUAGUAGUAGUAGUAGUAGUAGUAGUGACCUUAUAAGCUAAAAGAACACUUAUUUAAAUCUACCUUAGGCACAAAAUGACUUAGCAUCACACGAAGGAAUAAAAUAAUAAUAAUAAUAAUAAUAAUAAUAAUAAUAAUAAUAAUAAUAAUAAUAAUAAUAAUAAUAAUAAUAAUAAUAAUAAUAACAAUGACAAAAACAACAAAAGCUUUCCUCCGUGUUAAGAAUAUCGUACAAGAAAAUGACUUAGAGGGGAACACAGUAAUAAUAGCAAUAAUAAUAAUAAUAAUAAUAAUAAUAAUAAUAAUAAAGUAUGGCAGCUUAUCUCUACACCUGUUUUUUUACCUUUAUUUUUGUCAUGGCACCAGUGAAAGGGAAGGAGGAGGAGGAGGAGGAGGAGGAGGAGGAGGAGGAAGAAGAAGAAAACGGAAAAGAAAAAAAGAAAAGGAAGAAAAUUUAUAUGAAAAGGAAGGAAAAUAUCAAGAAAAUAAAGAAAAGAGAGAGAGAGAGAGAGAGAGAGAGAGAGAGAGAGAGAGAGAGAGAGAGAAAUGAAGAAAGGAAAGAAUAGAACAUAAUUUUAAGAAGGAACAGAGAGAGAGAGAAAAAGAAAAGAAAAUGGAGGGAAAAAAAGAGUGGAGAGAAGGAAGGAAGAAGAAGGGAAGGGAAGGAAAAAGGAGAGGAAAAAAACGGAGAUAAAAAGAAAGGAAAAGAAAAGAGAAAAAAAAGAAAAAUAAAUGAAGAAAAAGGUCAGGUAAGGUAAGGUUAGGUAAGGUCACGUAAGGUAAGGUAAGGUUAGGUAAGGUCACGUAAGGUAAGGUAAGGUUAGGUAAGGUAAGGUCAGGUAAGGUAAGGUCACGUAAGGUAAGGUCACGUACGGUAAGGUAAGGUAAGGUAAGGUAAGGUAUGGUAAGGUAAGGUUAGGUAAGGUAAGGUUAGGUUAGGUAAGGUCAGGUAGGGUAAGGUCAGGUAAGGUAAGGUAAGGUAAGGUUAGGUAAGGUAAGGAAAGGUUAGGUAAGGUAAGGUUAGAUAAGGUUAGGUAAGGUAAGGUCAGGUAAGGUAAGGUUAGGUAAGGUAAGGUUCAUUAGGGUAACACAAAGGUAAGCUCCAGUAAGGCAGGGCAGGUGUGUUUGGCUAAUUAGAACUGUCCACCUGUGCUCUCUCUCUCUCUCUCUCUCUCUCUCUCUCUCUCUCUCUCUCUCUCUCUCUCUCUUAAAAUUACUGUACAAUGUGAAAGUUUGUGAGAUAAAAUUAAGAAAGUUAAGAAAGGAAGGAAGAAAGAAAGAAAGGAAGGAAGAAAGAAAGAAAGAAAGAAAGAAAGAAAGAAAGAAAGAAAGGAAGGAAGGAAGGAAGGAAGGAAGGAAGGAAAGAAAGAAAGAAAGAAAGAAAGAAAGAAAGAAAGAAAGAAAGGAAGGAAAGAUAAAUAAAGAGAAAAAUUUGACAUAAGUAAAAACAGAAUAAAAAGAAAAGAUAGAAAAAGAAAUAAGACAAAGAGAAAGAAAAAAAAACAUAGAGAAUAUAAAUAAAAGAGAAAAAUUAGUUAAUGAGAAAAUAAAGAAAACGAUUGAGAAAGAAAAAAAGAAAGAAAGAAAGAAGGAAAGAGAAAGAAAUGGAAAAAUUGAAAGAUUAG